AAGAACGCGUAGAUGGGGAGAAGUAAGUAAACGAAGCUUUUUAGAGAGAACCAUAACCUGCUGAAAGUGGUUCAGGCCUCUCGUUUUCUGAAAUGCACCCUUGAGUCCUUUGCUGAACUAACCUAUAGUAGGCACAGGCGGAAUGUCCUCCGUUACAGGGAUUAAAGUUGGGGAUGAAAAAACAGGAAAAAGCUUUACCUGGUUCGUACAUUCCAAACAGAGUGGAACCGCGCUUCAAGCGUCUCUGUC
rnacentral:ncRNA from 2 species